rnacentral:rRNA from 1 species
AUGGGAGAUAUGAAUAACAUUUUGUAUGACGAUGAUAAGAACUCCCAGCAUGUUAAUAGUAAUCGUAUGCGCGCUUUUCGUAACAUUGUUAAAUCUUGUGGGUUUUUUGAUCUAGGAUAUAGUGGGCCUGCUUAUACUUGGACUAAUAAGCGAUAUUCUUCUGUGCCUAUCUAUGAACGCCUAGAUAGAUGCUUGGUAAAUGCUGAAUGGUGUGCUUUAUAUCCGAUCACUAAUGUCUAUAAUAUGCCGAUCACUAUUAGUGACCACGCUCCCAUUCUUGUCUCCACUGAAGGUAAUUUCAGAAAGCCUUUGCAAACUUUU